rnacentral:rRNA from 1 species
UUGACGGGGACCCGCACAAGCGGUGGAUGAUGUGGUUUAAUUCGAUGCAACGCGAAAAACCUUACCCACCUUUGACAUGGCAGGAAGUUUCCAGAGAUGGAUUCGUGCCCGAAAGGGAACCUGCACACAGGUGCUGCAUGGCUGUCGUCAGCUCGUGUCGUGAGAUGUUGGGUUAAGUCCCGCAACGAGCGCAACCCUUGCCAUUAGUUGCUACGAAAGGGCACUCUAAUGGGACUGCCGGUGACAAACCGGAGGAAGGUGGGGAUGACGUCAAGUCCUCAUGGCCCUUAUAGGUGGGGCUACACACGUCAUACAAUGGCUGGUACAGAGGGUUGCCAACCCGCGAGGGGGAGCUAAUCCCAUAAAGCCAGUCGUAGUCCGGAUCGCAGUCUGCAACUCGACUGCGUGAAGUCGGAAUCGCUAGUAAUCGCGGAUCAGAAUGUCGCGGUGAAUACGUUCCCGGGUCUUGUACACACCGCCCGUCACACCAUGGGAGCGGGUUCUGCCAGAAGUAGGUAGCCUAACCGCAAGGAGGGCGCUUACCACGGCAGGGUUCGUGACUGGGGUGAAGUCGUAACAAGGUAACCAAGGGC